CAUUUUUGUUUUCCUUUCAAGGCGAAACUGCCGGAGCAAAACUCGCAAUGACUCCUUAGCAAGCAAUUUGUCAACCGCCUCUCGUCUGUAUAUUGGUUAUAAUUACGGCGUAAAAAAUAAACAUGGAAAUUGAAAAAUCCAAAAGCAGGGCGACGGUGCGCUUAAGCCCGAGGACGCGGGUGCAGUUAUCUGCCGCGGCAGGAAGAAGUCAAGGGCAAUCUGAAAAAAGCUCCCAUGAAGGGCAGGCGAUGUAGGUUCACGAAAUUGAGACGAUUUAUCGCUUACUACUAGGAAAAAAUUGCAGCUAAAUAAGAGCAGGGCGGCCAAAAGCAGCGAGCAUCUGCAUGCCGAGACCAGACGAAAUUGGCAGCGGUUUGCGGCAUGCGUGGCGGCUCAAUGCCCUCCCAGCGGCAGUGGCGCCUGCAGUGGCGCGGGCUGUCCCUAUAUAAAACGGGCGCCGAAGAAAAGCACCGAAGGACUCUGCUUCCGAUAAUGAACGAGUCUCUAGCCUAUUAAAUAAGUGCGUGGUUUUCUGCACCUUGCACUCUUCUUAGCGGGACAAGCGGCUCGUAGCCGCACGAAUCAGAGCAAUAACAGGUCUGCGAUGCCCUUAGAUGUCCGGGGCCGCACGCACGCUACACUGAUGAAAGCAGUGUGUUUUUAUCCCUGUUUGUAAAGAGGGGGUAACCCGUGGAACCUUCUUCGUGAUUGAGGUAGGGGCUUGCAGCUGUUCCCCUUGAACGAGGAAUUCCCACUAAGCGCGAGUCAUAAGAUCCCGUUGAUUACGUCCCUGCCCUCUGUACACACCGCCCGUCGCUACUACCGAUUGAAUGACUUAGUGGGGUCUUCGGACCGAUAACCGCAGGCGUAUUUCCAAAACAUGGCCUUUCCAGAUCUGCCGCGGAGCGGCGUGCUCUGAUUGGCCAGAUUACUA
rfam:Ixodes scapularis strain Wikel colony gcontig_1108379035054, whole genome shotgun sequence.